rnacentral:rRNA from 1 species
UAGGUGAGAAUCCUACACACCGAAAGUCCAAGGAUUCCAGGGGAAGGUUCGUCCGCCCUGGGUAAGUCGGGACCUAACGCGAGGCCGAAAGGCGUAGUGGAUGGAAAGCAGGCGAAAGAUUCCUGCACCCGUAUAUGGAGCGAAGGAGUGACGGAGACGGAUAGUGUGACCCUCUUAAUGGAUUGAGGGCGAAGCGAAGCGGCUGGUUACCAGGCAAAUCCGGUAACCAUAAGGCUAGAGCGUGAUAGGUAAGCGAAAUCUUCGGAAAGUAGCGAAGCACAUGAUGACGGCUUCCAGGAAAAGCUUCUGGCAAUGCAUAUGCGGCCCGUACCAAAACCGACACAGGUGGGCAGGGAGAGAAUCCCGAGGUGAGCGAGAGAACUGUUGCCAAGGAACUCGGCAAAAUGACUCCGUAAGUUAGCGAGAAGGAGUGCUUAAGCAAUUAAGCCGCAGUGAAGAGGCCCAAGCGACUGUUUAACUAAAACACAGCUCUCUGCGAAGUCGCAAGACGAAGUAUAGGGGGUGACACCUGCCCGGUGCUGGAAGGUUAAGAGGAUCUGUUAAGAGCGAUCUGAAGCAGUGAUCCGAAGCCCCAGUGAACGGCGGCCGUAACUAUAACGGUCCUAAGGUAGCGAAAUUCCUUGUCAGGUAAGUUCUGACCCGCAUGAAAGGCGUAAUGAUUUGGGCACUGUCUCAACAGCCCGCCCGGCGAAAUUGUAGUACCGGUGAAGAUGCCGGUUACCCGCGACAAGACGGAAAGACCCCAUGGAGCUUUACUGUAGCCUAAUAUUGGGUUUCGAUGUUGCAUGCACAGGAUAGAUGGGACUCUGGGAAACCAAGGCUUUGGCUUUGGCGGAGAGGCCGUUGGGAUACCAUCCUUGCGAUAUUGGAAUUCUAACCUGCGCCUUUGAAUCAAGGCGGGGGACAUUGUUAGGUGGGCAGUUUGACUGGGGCGGUCGCCUCCUAAAGAGUAACGGAGGCGUUCAAAGGUUCGCUCAGCUUGAACGGAAAUCAAGCAAAAGAGUGCAAACGCAGAAGCGAGCCUAACUGCGAGACUGACGGGUCGAGCAGUAACGAAAGUUGGAGUUAGUGAUCCGGUGGUAUGUGAGUGGAAAUGCCAUCGCUCAACGGAUAAAAGUUACCCUGGGGAUAACAGGCUGAUCUCCCCCAAGAGUCCACAUCGACGGGGAGGUUUGGCACCUCGAUGUCGGCUCAUCACAUCCUGGGGCUGUAUUCGGUCCCAAGGGUUCGGCUGUUCGCCGAUUAAAGUGGUACGCGAGCUGGGUUCAGAACGUCGCGA